rnacentral:rRNA from 1 species
UGGAGGACCGAACCGACUUACGUUGAAAAGUGAGCGGAUGAACUGAGGGUAGCGGAGAAAUUCCAAUCGAACCUGGAGAUAGCUGGUUCUCUCCGAAAUAGCUUUAGGGCUAGCCUCAAGUGAUGAUUAUUGGAGGUAGAGCACUGUUUGGACGAGGGGCCCCUCUCGGGUUACCGAAUUCAGACAAACUCCGAAUGCCAAUUAAUUUAACUUGGGAGUCAGAACAUGGGUGAUAAGGUCCGUGUUCGAAAGGGAAACAGCCCAGACCACCAGCUAAGGUCCCAAAAUAUAUGUUAAGUGGAAAAGGAUGUGGCGUUGCCCAGACAACUAGGAUGUUGGCUUAGAAGCAGCCAUCAUUUAAAGAGUGCGUAAUAGCUCACUAGUCGAGUGACACUGCGCCGAAAAUGUACCGGGGCUAAACAUAUUACCGAAGCUGUGGAUUGUCCUUUGGACAAUGGUAGGAGAGCGUUCUAAGGGCGUUGAAGCAUGAUCGUAAGGACAUGUGGAGCGCUUAGAAGUGAGAAUGCCGGUGUGAGUAGCGAAAGACGGGUGAGAAUCCCGUCCACCGAUUGACUAAGGUUUCCAGAGGAAGGCUCGUCCGCUCUGGGUUAGUCGGGUCCUAAGCUGAGGCCGACAGGCGUAGGCGAUGGAUAACAGGUUGAUAUUCCUGUACCACCUAUAAUCGUUUUAAUCGAUGGGGGGACGCAGUAGGAUAGGCGAAGCGUGCGAUUGGAUUGCACGUCUAAGCAGUAAGGCUGAGUAUUAGGCAAAUCCGGUACUCGUUAAGGCUGAGCUGUGAUGGGGAGAAGACAUUGUGUCUUCGAGUCGUUGAUUUCACACUGCCGAGAAAAGCCUCUAGAUAGAAAAUAGGUGCCCGUACCGCAAACCGACACAGGUAGUCAAGAUGAGAAUUCUAAGGUGAGCGAGCGAACUCUCGUUAAGGAACUCGGCAAAAUGACCCCGUAACUUCGGGAGAAGGGGUGCUCUUUAGGGUUAACGCCCAGAAGAGCCGCAGUGAAUAGGCCCAAGCGACUGUUUAUCAAAAACACAGGUCUCUGCUAAACCGUAAGGUGAUGUAUAGGGGCUGACGCCUGCCCGGUGCUGGAAGGUUAAGAGGAGUGGUUAGCUUCUGCGAAGCUACGAAUCGAAGCCCCAGUAAACGGCGGCCGUAACUAUAACGGUCCUAAGGUAGCGAAAUUCCUUGUCGGGUAAGUUCCGACCCGCACGAAAGGCGUAACGAUUUGGGCACUGUCUCAACGAGAGACUCGGUGAAAUCAUAGUACCUGUGAAGAUGCAGGUUACCCGCGACAGGACGGAAA